GCCAAUAUAGAGGAUAGUUAGAGUUUUGAUGCUUGGCUUGUUCAGGGAAAGUGCAGGAGAAGGGUCUGUCAUCCAAGGAAUGAGCUUUUAAAGUCAAAUUCCCUGUAUUAUAUGGAAAAGAUAGAACCCUACUCAGGAACAACAACUGAUCCAAUAGUAAUGCUUCCAACAUAUGAGCAGGAGAAUCAGCUACAAAUAAACUGAGAUAAAAUAGAUAUUACAUCUAAUCUAGGAGUAGAAUCAACUAUGCUAGUGAAACAUCUAGUAUAUGAGCAGAAUCAGCCAUACAGAGC
rnacentral:lncRNA from 1 species